AUGAGAAGCAGAUCAUGCGCCACCGCAAGGACAUGUGCACCGGCUCCUGUGCCAGGUACGGGGUCGACAACAGCCACCGCAAUCCCAAGGUCACACUACGUGCAGACUGCUCUAAGGAUAUGGUUGUAUAAUGCAAUUUUUGUCAUGUUGCUCUAUCUACGUAGUGACAAGUGUAGUACUCCCUUUCAUAGUUCAUGUGCAGUAUGGAGUAUGUUUUAUCACACAUGGUCAUGUGCACUAUGCAAUUUCCCUUUGAUGACUAACAAUUGGAACGAAAUGUUGGAAGUAGUGCAAACAUGUAAAAGAAAGUUAUGGGCACAAACUGCUGGUUGGGGUGCGGGAGCAAACUUCACGAUGGCCUAG
rnacentral:rRNA from 1 species